UCGCCUGUUUACAUACUCGCCUGAAUGUGUGCUAUUGUGAUUUGUAAGUUUUCCCCCGUCGGUCUGUACCAGAUACCUCGCAUUCAGCUGCUUGUCACCUGUGGUCGUUUUAUAACUUUGCUGCAGAAUUUUGUCCUUAAGUCGAAUAAACUUGGGAAGGAAAUCGUGAAGCUUUACUCCCGAAAAGCGCUUGUACGUCCAUAGAAUUUACAGUUCAAAUGCAACACAUAUCCUCACUUAAAUUUUAGAAGAAUUUAUAAUUUCAGUAAAUUGAAAUUGCAGAUAAACAGAAUUCAAUAAAUUGAAGAUUUCUAUAUGCACACCAAGUAAGUUCUGCAAAGUAAAACGGUUCGUUGCAUUAAAGUUCAAUAUAUGGAGGUCUAAUUGUACAAAAUUGAUUGAUAUAGGGGUUGAUUGGAUACAGGGUGUGCAUAUUCACACGCCUGCUUCCUUAGUCAGUCGUUCCGUGCCGGUCUACUUGGGCAAUAAACCAAGCAACAAUGUUAAUGUUUUCGAACUGUUCAUAUAUCGGGAGCACACCAAGAAGGUGAUCUAAAACCUCCAGGCAUAUGGUGACUUUCUGUUCCAAAAGAAAAAAAAGUAAUAGUAACAAUGUGUACAGUGGCAUAGCAGAGUAAACAAACAAAAAGCUGUCUUUUUAAGACAAUGCUACAUUUUCUUUUCCUAAUUACAGCAGCCGUGCAAGGUGUUCUAGAUCAGUUACAAUAUUUGAAAAUUCAUUGUGAUGGGCCAGUCUGUUUCCCUUAGUGUUAUAAUGGCCUCAUAUUCUUGCGAAGUUAAUCAUAUUACUCCUGUAUCCUUACUACAUUGAACUCCUGAAAUGUUUUAUCCCAGCCACUGCUCCUCAUCCACCAUGCUGCUUCUGCUUAAUAGUUCUCAAGGCAAUUAUAUUGCCCUCCUCUCCCUAUUAUUCAGGCAGAGAAACAGAUCCACAUGGCCAUCACAAACUAAUUUUCACUUGCACAUGCCCUGACGUUCAAAACAUUGCAGUUGAGCUAGAAGCUAGAAUCAAGCUAGAAGCUAGAGGGAAGCUAGAAUUAGCACUAGUGAAAUGUGAAGGUUGUUAGCAAAGGUGCCCACAGUGUGUGAGGCCACAGUUUAUGUGAAGAUAAAAGUUUUGAGAAAAAUUAUAUAAAUUUUGCAGUUGAUAUUGUUGUUUUAUUAAUGCUGCUCUUGCUUUAGUUAUCCUUUUUUUUAGUUACCAUAUGUGUUAAAUGUCACAGCAUUUGAUAUUAUAGCAUUGACAUAUAUCAGUGGGUGGGGGGUCCUCAUCUGGAUAGAUCAUUUCUAAUGCAUACACUUUGCAUGGCUUGUUUGCGUUGCCAACACCUACUGUAUUACUUUGCAAUUAAAACCUUCACAAUUGUUUUUCGCACGAAAAUAAAACAAGCAGUCUAAAAAUGUUCCUUUGUCUCAUGCAAUAUAGCGCUCCUCUCACCUAAAGCUGUAUGUUCUCGAGACACAAGUAAACAGCUACAUGUUAGCUGCAAAACCUCUUAAAUUUGCAACAAUAUCGAAUAUAUUGAGACAAAAAAAAAUACCUUGGUGAACAUAUUGCUGCAGAUGCUGACCAGCACAUGAGUAGUGCUUCUUUUAUUACAAACAUUUAAUCGCAUUGCAGAGAGUGUGUACCACUUAAAUCACAAUCAUUUUAUUGAGAUAUUUUUGUGUCAUUUGCAUGUGGGAGAAGCAGGAAAUAGUAAGCUGACUCUGCCUUAAAGCAAACAUAUGCAUUAGAGAGCGCUUAAAGCAUUACUUGUUCAAACCGAGGCUUUGGUGUCUAGACUUCAUGACGAAGAGAGUAAAAUGUGAGGUCACUUACCCUGUAUUCUGAAACCAUCUAUGACUGGAAGCUUCAUUCCACUGAGCUGAGCGCAGUGCCACCCUUAGACUGAAGACGACGCUGUGUUUCACAGUAAUUGACAUGAAGUUUAAUUAAAGCUAAGCAACCGCCUCUGUCAAGGAGCGGGGCUGCUGUGCAUUUGAAUCCAGGUGGAGUGUUGAGUGGAGAAUACGGGAGCUUUAGUCAUCUUUACCUAUCCUCGAGCCUCUUAAGAGAUUUCCUACAACAUUUAAGCUCAGCCUUUCUGUUUUUUCUUACAGCAUGGUUAUUACAGGUGGUACAAAACAUUCCAUGGUACAGUUUAUAUAAUUCUUUGGGAAAACAUCCAUCACCUCACUAAACAGGAAUAGGCUCAAUAGGUUCACUGGUAUCAUCUAUAGUGUUUCCAUCCAAGACCUAUUGCUAUUACAAGGCAUUGCACACAUUCAGUGAUGUAGCCAGAAAUUUAUUUCAGGGAAGGAUUCUCCACUGACCACUACCACUCCCCCAUCACCUCUCUCUCUCGUACUAUAUAAAUGUGUGGAGGGUUUUACAUCACACCAAGACAAACUCCUAGCACUCCCCGGACAGGAAUGCUUUAGCAAUGAGGAUGCACAUUUUUACGUUGCCAAAACAACUUUGCUUAACUUCUGACAAAAGUUUUUCAUUGCUAAGGCAUGCAGCCACAACGCCUAAAAUUAUGCUAUCAUCCUUGUGCUGUUUUUUAAAAUGACUAUAUUAAAAAUAACAUUUUGUUUACAAAUUGAUGUAUUUAUAUAAUGUAUAUUAUGGCCUUGUUGGUACAUUACUUAGGAAAGCGAGCUGUGCUAAAAACAUGACAGCGCUCUGUCUUGUGUCUUCUUGUUUGCAGCCCAGACUUGUUGCAGCCCAAGUAACAGUGGAGGCAUUAUGGGCAUGCUUCCCUGACACCUGCCUAUUCUAAAGACUGCAGAGCAGCAAGCACAGCACAUGCUAUGACAGGGUAGGUGAAUCUUGGCUAAGGCAACUGGCCACGGCUAUCUGGUGUUGAGCGAUCGAGCAGUGAUGAGACAAUCCCCCUAUGUUCCAUAAGUUUUCACUUCAUUCUUGAUGCCCUUAAUGCGCGUCACCACCCUAGCCCCCUUACCGUAUCCACCUCCCCACUCCCUGGAGCUCUCUGAAACUCUUUUCAGCUAAUCACUGUCCCACUUUUCAACAUUCACGGGGUUGUUGAAUGACACAGCAUUCUCUAACAUGCCUAUAUUUAUGUUUCUGUGUGGACGUCGAAGCCAUUCACCUAGCUCCCCUAGUUUGUUGUGGCGGCUUCUUAGCUUCCCUGGUCCAGCACCCCGUCCUUCAUAUAAAUUGCCGCGCGCAAAUCAGCAUUCUGUAGGCCUUUCUUUCUUGUCCCGUUUUCUCUCCAUUUUUUCAUUCUUAGCAGUGUGUACAAACUAGCCUGAGAGCAAGCUCUUCUGAAGUUUAUUAACAUAAUGAAAGUCAGAGUCAAUGGAAAGUAAAAGAAGAAAAAAAAAGGUGGGGGGGAGUGUUUUUUAUGAGUUUUCUAAACAAGCAAGUUGUAAUAUAAGUAAGUUGUAUAAUAGCAAGCACCAAGUAUGAAAGAAUAAAAAACGCAUUUGCACUUCU
rnacentral:lncRNA from 1 species